CAAGUUAUAUCUUCAAUGGGGCGAGUUCCACAUACAAGACAAAUCUGGACUUUAAAGUCCUUGAAUUGGAUGAAUGUAUUAUAUAUCUGUAUCUCCGGACAUACCACUUGGUCUGAAAUGAAGGGAGGCGUAACAAAGGUAUCUUCAUGAUGAUAAAGAUGGUGGUGACAAUUUGUAGUUACAACAUUUAAGUUUUAAAUGGAGUACAAGGAGAUUUGAGUCUAAACAAAAUUCUUCCAACCUAAAUAAGAAUCUGAUAACCUCGUCACAUUUCAUUGGUGCUACUGGAAAUGUCAUAGAUAGCAAUCUUGCUGCCUGUCUGGGAAUUAAGUCCUCACAAGGAUGGCAGAGCAAAGAGAUGGGAAGAAUAAGGACUCUUGAAGGACCAUGAAGAGCCAGCCAGCCCUAUUCUGAAGGCUCUGGGAAGCAGAUUAACAGACACACAGUAACCAACGAUGGAACCUAGAUUCCUGGGGAACAAGAUAUAAAAGAACAAAUGUGUUUGUCCAUUUCUUCAUUUGCUCAGCAUGUGUUUGUUUUAUGUACUUAUAUAGAUUCAUUUAUAAUCUUCAUUUGUAUAUAUAAAUAUUUAUUAAUA